UUUUAUUCUGUAUCAGCUCCAUCCUACAGUAAACACAGAGAUAUUGGAGGAAAACAAAACAUCAUGGUAAACAUGCACCUUCCCGUGCCUGUUCCAGCAUAUCACCAGAUUCAGAAUUAUAACUCUUUGCCAAGAACUCGAGAGUUAUACAAUUGUGUGUACAAUUACCAUAUUUUUAGGCCAAUAUUUCUUAUUCCAAAUAGAUUUUCUUCCUGUGCUGAAUCCCCUCCGAUUGAAUGCCGNNNNNNNNNNNNNNNNNNNNNNNNNNNNNNCCGAGACAUCGAUGAAGAUGAUGACAUCGCAUGUCAUUGUUUCACUAGAAAGCCUGAGACCUCGAUGAUCUGCGAGUGGCAGCCCUUAGUCCAAGUGGUCCGGUCGAUGGCCGAUCUUUAUUAUGGCAAACAGAAUUUUUUUUGCGGGUGGCGUCAAAUUUUUUUUUGCACUCUGCUCCCUCCAUAUCCUCCCGGAUUACCAUAGUAUCAAUGCCCCUCUUCAGAUUUUUGAAGCCCCUUUUCUCAGUUGAAGCCUCUGUCAAGCUGACAUUAUAAAUGUACGGUAUCUUCACACAACACAACAACACAACGAGUAUAUUCCAUAAUGUAGGAGUAUCUCACUGAAUUAACGUACCAAAGAGAUGGAUAAAAAUUCAAAGUUUGGCGAAUUUUCGCCAAAUUUUCUACUCCGGUUUCUGUUCGUACUCCACAGUUGAACAAUUUUAGCCCCAUCUGACAAGUGGCCCUUAUGUGUCAGGCUGAUCUGCCUAGAUCGGCCUAGUGGUUACUCGCCACUUAUCAGGCUGAUCUGCCUAGAUCGGCCUAGUGCUUUGAUCAUUCCGUGUGCAAGUCAAUACCAUGGCUACGAAAUUCGCCGGUACAAUAUGUGGUGUUAAGACAUGACAAUGGCCGGUAAACCGAAGGCGGACCAAAAAAAAGUAGUGCAAAACUGUUGCAGUGUAUGUUACCCACAAAAUUUGAAACAGCUGCAGAAUGCUAGGCCUGUGAAUGAAAACUGUUAUGUUCCCGCAAAAAGUUGCGUAGAUCGGUUAAAUUUCGGUGAUUGCAUAGACCGGUUAAAGUUUGGUGAUCGCAUAGACCGGUUAAAGUUCCAUGUAUAUCUAAACCGUUCACUAUUCUUUGGACAUCUCAGCGCCUGUAGCUCAGUGGAUAGAGUGUCCGUUUCCUAAGCGGAAUGCCGUAGGUGCGAGGGGGGUGAUUGGAUGUGGUGGUUGUGGAUGGCAGAGAGGAGGAAAUGGCCAAUGUGACAUAGGCUGGCGGGCCAGCAGUUGCAAGAGCGGGUGUCGCGCAUGUUCGGUCCGUGUCAGCGGCGACGAAAUCUAGCUCAAAUUUUGGCCUGAAAUGGGUCUAUCAAGGAUAAAUAACGAAUGCUCGUCCGUUUGGAUCGACACGUUGGACCGUGAUUUGUGUUCGUUUGCGUUCAAACGGACACGCAUGUACAAUUUGGAUCCACACGCACUGGAGUUGCUCUAUGGCAUGCGAUGAAGCGGCCGUCGUAGUGGCGAUGGCAUGAGUGGAGUUGUUGGCGCCGCCUCCUUGCAGCGCUGCUCUUCUUCCUCUUGCUGCCUCUCACAGCUCUCUCUUCUCUCAUGUAUCUUCCAAGAACACUCUCAGCACAACGACACACACAACAGGCAAACACACAUGUACACACACCUCACCGUGAAGAAAAAUAGCUUUGCCUCUUGCACCCGGUGAGAACACAUGGACUACAUUUUUCUCUUCUUCCCACAAUUCAGAAGAUGCAAUUACACGGCCGGACACUCCCGGCUAAAAUCGCAGCCACUAAUCCAUUACUUACUACCAUGCACGCACGCUCCCACUGCUUGCAUGCAUGUACUCACAACGGUCCAGCCACACACAUCGGCUUAGGUCCGAUUACUACUCCACUUAGCCAGCUACACACAUACAUGUUUGAGCAAUAAUGCUAGACUUACGUAAAAGUCUACGAAAUCUUACGUACUAACUCUUCAUUUUCCUUAAUCUAAUACUUUACGUAAGUCUAGCAUAGUCACUUCCAAAUCUAUCAGAUAACAAACUAGGAGCUCCUCUACGCACGCCACAACUACUACGCCCACUUCUUUCUCCAUAUGUACCUGCUAUGCGACUUGCCGCUCGGACUCCGCAGAACAUAAUGCAUGCAGCUAACUGAUAAGUCUAAUCCUAUGAAUGUAAUACUAAUAACAAGAUUAGUUUCAACAUUCACCUGUCUAAUCUUGUUAACUUAUUUAUCUCUUGAAGACCAUGGUCAUUGAUGUUGCCGGUCCAACACGGAGACGGACGCGAUUGCCAUCUUGUCACAUUGAUUACCGCUGCCGCUGUUGGCCUUGAUGAGAGCCACACCUCUUACGCCUUCACCACAAGCGUGCCGCCACCGCACGCUCGUUGUCGCAUGUUUGCCACCGGUGCCGCAACUCGCCGAUGACUCACCCCAUGUUCACCACCGGCGAUGCAACUCACCGGUGACUCGCCUCCAUUUUUGCCACCGAUGUCGCAACUCGCCAGUGACUCGCCUCCAUAUUGUCGACGAUGACGCACUUUGUCGCCAACUCGGAUAUGGACGAUGAACCCCUUAUGGCAAUGACCUCCGCAACAUGGUCAUACCCUCCUUGUUGUCGGUGACGCAAUUUACCGGGCAACAUACCAUUCUCCAUCGCUCGUGACCCAGCUCGACGAUGAUCGAUGGAGACACGCACCAGCCACUAGCAGCAUCGCGCCGCCAACGCCACCCACCUUGCGCCGACGAUCCUCACCUCACAUGGAGUCCGCCACGCCUCCACCAUCGCGUCCGCCAUAAGAGCCGCACCGACGCGCACCUCCAUAGGCCGACACACGGCCCGAAGCGUCGCUCGGCUGCCGACGAACGCCGCCAUCGUCGGCACGCCUCCGGCAUGGCGACCACGCUCAAGAUAAUCAGGCUCAUGAUACCAAUUGUUGGAGUUAUCCAGGAGAUCGAUGGAUACACACACGCAAGUACACGGUGGACACACCUACACUUCUCCGUGAUACACAAUGGAGAGGAAGAACACAAACACGAAGAGCUUUUCCGGCACACGCACUUGUACCUUUUCUGUAUUCCUCACUCUCACUCUCGAUGCAAUGCAGAUACAUGGCUUAAAUAGCCGACUCACUUGGCUAUCACACAGCCACUACUCCACUACUUGCACGCACACAGCCGCAGCUUCUAGUGUUACAACACAGUUACAAAUUAAACAUGCUCUAACACUAAUAACAAGAUUAGUUCCAACAGGAGCGUCACUUGUCUAAACUUUGGAUGGCAAGCUUGCCGGUGGGGGGAGUUUGGGAUCUGGAUGGUAUGUGCUGGGUAUGUUAGCAAUUUUUGGAACAGCAUGAAGCUUAUAAUAUAAUAUAUAAACAUAUAUGUGAGCAUGUAUUGUAUAUAGAACUGAAACAUCUAUGAAAACAGGAAGCAUGACUAUCAUAUGAACCUGUAGAUAGGGGAUGAACAAAUCAUACACUCUAAUAGCCGAGGAUAAAAUCACAGCGACGACUUUCUCAACAACCUUGUAGAUCGUGGCUUCGGUGUCGACAAGGAAGUAAUCGAAGCAUAGGACGAAGACACUUCCCUAAAAGAUUAUUGUCCUUCUCCCGGUGCAUAAUCACAAAAGAGGUGUUGUGCCCACAGGCAUAUAUAGUGGAUGAAAUUUUAUCUGAGGGGCGACAGCUAGGAUUGCCAACGCCUCCAAUCAUGAAUAGAGCCAGUUAAUGACUUAGGGUGUACAAAUGUACUUCCACUACUUUGGUAACUAGCUUGCAUACUAUGGUGUAGCUCACACAUAUAGUACAACACUAUACAUAAAAAAUAGAAGAGACUUGAGUAAAAUUGUGAUUUAUUGAACUAUGCACACCCACUGUUGAGAUGCUCACGCUGCCUCCAAUAUAUAUGCCGUUAGGUGGCAUGGCGUGGUGCGGCGGAGGCGAUAGAUGAGGAGCACGAGUGUAUAACUCCUCUUCUCAAGUUCCAGUAAGCAUGUGCAAGACAACCCGAAAGUGAUCUUCUGAGCGCGAGCACACGUGCUCGCGGUAUCCUUCCCGUAUGUGGUCCUCGUGAUCCACAUUGUGACACGGAUAAGCCUAGGUAUUUCUCCCGUAUAUCUGUUAAUGAACAACUCUGCUGGGCCACUUCUGCCCAUAACUCCACACAGAAUCUUAACAGUCUUUCUAUAUUUCCCUAUGGCUUCGGCCACAGGUUUAAGAGCCACCACUGCUAGGAAUACAAUUUCUCCAUGAGUUGAUCAGGGAUUGUCAAUGAAGAUUGUCUUUUUUUCCUUACGAAAUGGCAAUGAAGAUUGUUGGCAAUGAUCAGGGACUUAUAACACAUAUAAUGAAUCAAUAUCUAGUGGAUUAGUUGAAAUCUUAGAAAUUCUCACCAUCCGUCAUGCGAAUGACAUUUCAACUAAUCAGCUCAUGAAGUUUUCACACCAUUCUUUUAUUUUGCAAGAGGAAACAAAAAAUGAGUAGUAGGACAGUCACAUCAUUUUUACAGGGCUGACCCGUGUGAUAAAGCAAGGAAACGGUUCUUGGGUGACUUGCUCACCACUAUUUGUGUGCUUAGCUGACAAAUACUAUACACAGUCCUACGCGCUAUAUAUACUCACCUAGCUCACGCAUAAGGAUGUCAAAGGUCCAUUGCUAUAAGUUUAAAUAUGCCUUCUUCUAUACCAGUUUCAUCCCAUAGUAAACCCUAAGAUAAUGGAGGAAAACAAAACAUCAUGGUAAGCAUUUGCUAUUUUCGUGCUUGCGCCAGCAAAUAAGUCAAUCUAAAGUACGGUCAUUUCCGCAAGAAACUUGAAAACUAGUCAAUGAUGUGUGCAAUUAUCAUUAUUUUUAGGCUAAUAUUUUUUCUUGUUCCAAAUAGAUCCGCCCGACAUGGAAUACCUGCCAUCCGAAACACCGCAGGACCCAACUUUGAAGAAAAAUGUCACACGGACUCUAGGAUCACAUUUCAUCAUUUCAUCCGACAGCCAGAAACGUCGACGACUUGCAGGUGGCGUCUGUUUGGCCAGACGAUGCUAGUGGAACUAUCUUCUUUUGGUUAGUGAAAAUACACCCGCCGUCCAGUCAUCGAGCUGCUCGUUUGCUUCGUUGGGCACAUAACAACAGAAUUCAAAACAAGAUCAACAGUUUGACACGGGAUUCGACUUGAACCCAUUCUGUUUAUUGUAAUUAUGUAUAUCCCUGAAUGUAUCAGACUGAUUUGUAUCAACCUUACUGCUCCAGUUUCGAUUUGCACUCCAACUGAACUGAUUUGGCCGGUGGUUAGCCGUCACGUAAGAACCGUGUUUUCAGUCGGGGCGUACGUGCAAAUAAAUAAACGAAAAUGGUGUAUCAUAGAAAAGAAAUUAUAACUUUUAAGUUCAUUAUUAGUUAUCUAUACUAUAAUAAUACUGCAG
rnacentral:lncRNA from 1 species